GCUAAAGAGUCAAAGCAAAGAUUUACUGGCAAAGACCUCUGAAGAGCAAUCAUCUUGGCCUUGAGAUGCAACAGGUGUACACAUUGGACAGGAACUGAGUCAUCCUCUGAGGCCAACAAAGAACCUCGUCCCUACACUGCUAGGCUGACUCUUCAAUGCGAAGGAUUGAAUAGAGUUCUCAAG
rnacentral:lncRNA from 1 species